UACGCAACCUUCCCGAAACAGGUGAAUAGCCCUCCGAAAGGAGGAUUAAUACACCGUAAGAUAUAGAGAUGGCAUCAUUUUUAUAUUAUAGGCCGCAAGGCUGGUUUUGGAUGGGCGUGCGCCUGAUUAGGUAGUUGGUGUAGGUAACGGCUCACCAAGCCUUCGAUCAGUAACUGGUGUGAGAGCACGACCAGUCACACGGGCACUGAGACACGGGCCCG
rnacentral:rRNA from 1 species